AGAACAACAAUCCUGAGAGAAUGACUGGCCCAAAGAUGUCCAGCUGGUUUUCAUGGCUGAGGCCAUACAAGGACAAGUCAGAAGGCGCUUUGGAUGUGCCUGAUCUCAUUAUAUAGGCUCAGUACUAAUACCACUCUAUAAAGCCCUAGUAAGACCACACCUAGAGUACUGCAUCCAGUUUUGGUCACCACACUACAAAAAUGAUGUUGAGACUCUAGAAAAAGUGCAGAGGAGAGCAACCAGGAUGAUUAGGGGACUGGAGACUAAAACAUAUGAAGAACGGUUACCAUGAACUGGGCAUGGUUAGUCUGGUGAAGAGAAGAGAAGGACCAGGGGAGACAUGAUAGCCGUCUUCCAAUACUUGAGGGGCUGCCACAGAGAGGAGGGGGUCAAGCUGUUUUCCAAAGCACCUGAAGGUCAGACAAGGAAUAAUGGAUGGAAACUGACCAAGGAGAGAUUCAACCUAGAAAUGAGGAGGAACUUUCUGAAAGUGAGAACAAUCAACCAAUGGAACAGCUUGCCUUCGGAAGUGGUGGGAGCUUCAUCACUGGAAGCUUUCAAGAAGAGAUUGGACUGCCAUCGGUCAGAAUGGUAUAGGGUCUCCUGCAUGGGCAGGGGGUUGGAUCAGAUGACCUACAAGGUCCCUUCCAACUCUGUUAAUGUUAUGCAAAUAGGUUUGUUUGGCGGGCAGUUUGAAUUAACUGACCCUCAGCUGAUUGGCUGACCACCACAGCUGCAAGGUAUAUAAAGGGAGCUAUUUCCUUAGGUCAGUUGCUGGGUUCUCACCCUAAUAAACAGAGCUGUUGUCACUCA